CCCGUUGGUCAAGUGGUUAAGACACCGCCCUUUCACGGCGGUAACACGGGUUCGAAUCCCGUACGGGUCACCACU
rnacentral:tRNA from 1 species